CAACAGGUCAUCUUACAAAAAGUCACAAGUUGGAGUCAUGGUGCUGUUAUUUCCAACUACUUCCUCACCUGCUGAAACACUGAGGAACUUCACAAAUAGAAUUUCCUGAGGCCAAGCUAACAGAUGCACUGAAAGAGGCAUGAUGAGCUUUUUAAAAAUCCUUUUAAAAAUAUACUACCUCUUUCUGGCCUGCAAUGGAAAAAAGACAGCCUCUUCAAUAAAUGGUGCUGGGAAAAUUGGACAGUCACAUGCAGAAAAAUGAAAUUGGN
rnacentral:lncRNA from 1 species